GAAGGUGAUAAGGAUCCACUGAGUCUUC
rnacentral:piRNA from 1 species